rnacentral:rRNA from 1 species
UACAGAGGGUGCGAGCGUUAAUCGGAAUUACUGGGCGUAAAGCGCACGUAGGCGGCUUGGUAUGUCGGGUGUGAAAUCCCCGGGCUCAACCUGGGAACUGCAUCCGAAACUGCCUUGCUAGAGUAUGGGAGAGGGAAGUGGAAUUUCCGGUGUAGCGGUGAAAUGCGUAGAUAUCAGGAGGAACACCGGUGGCGAAGGCGGUUCUCUGGGCAUUACCUGACGCUGAGGAGCGAAAGUGUGGGGAGCGAACAGG